rnacentral:tRNA from 3 species
GCGCCUGUAGCUCAAUUGGAUAGAGCAACAGCCUUCUAAGCUGUAGGCUGCAGGUUCGAGCCCUGCCAGGCGCGCCA